GUGAUUCAUGCCAUUUCCAGGCCUGGGCUAAAAAACACCUCCCACUUGAUCUUUUCUCUCACUCACCUCCACUGCUGGAAAGAUGCAGGGACCUAGCAGAGGGCUUGGAACCUCUGAGGAAGAGCAGAGCCACAAGAGGGAGGGAGCCCGGGCUCUGAAUCACCAUGUGGAUGCAGCUGAUUUACCAUGACUGACGGAACAAAGAGGAAACUGCAGCUCGAGGAGGUAAAGAGAUUUGCCUAAGAUGACUGCUGACGAGGGCUGGAGCCAGAAUGUGAACCUGGUUGAUUCCAACUCCAGACCAAGUAUUCAACUCCUCUGCUGAGUGGAAGGUGGCAGAGGUGGAGGAUGUGUCCAAGUAUGAAGCUCACAGGCCACACCCAGGUCUUCACAUAAUUGAACGUGAUGUUACCCUAAGAGUAUUGCACCAAGUGAAUAUACAUCAAUGACCUGCCAGUUUCCUACUGAUGGAUAUUUAUAUUAGCUUCAACAGUCUUGCAAUGGCCUUCCCUCUACAUGCGACUUUGAGCAAGUGUAUGAUUGUGUGUGGGACAGAGAGUUCUACUGGUGGAAUUGCUGGUCCAAAGGUGAAGCAGGUUUAAGAGUAGCAGCUGCUGUGGAUGUCAGGCAGGGCGCGGUGGCUCAUACCUGUAAUCCCAGCACUUUGGGAGGCUGAGGCGGGUAGAUCAUGAGGUCAAGAGUUUGAGACCAUCCUGUCCAACAUGGUGAAAGCCCAUC